rnacentral:rRNA from 1 species
GUAGGUGGCAAGCGUUGUCCGGAAUUAUUGGGCGUAAAGCGCGCGCAGGGCGGUCCUUUAAGUCUGAUGUUAAAGCCCACGGGCUCAACCGUGGAGGGUCAUUGGAAACUGGGGGACUUGAGUACAGAAGAGGAAAGCGGAAUUCCAAGUGUAGCGGUGAAAUGCGUAGAGAUUUGGAGGAACACCAGUGGCGAAGGCGGCUUUCUGGUCUGUAACUGACGCUGAGGCGCGAAAGCGUGGGGAGCAAACAGGAUUAGAUACCCUGGUAGUCCACGCCGUAAACGAUGAGUGCUAAGUGUUAGGGGGUUUCCGCCCCUUAGUGCUGCAGCUAACGCAUUAAGCACUCCGCCUGGGGAGUACGGCCGCAAAGGCUG